GGGGCCGUAGCUCAGUUGGGAGAGCGCGACGUUCGCAAUGUCGAGGCCAGGGGUUCGAUUCCCCUCGGCUCCACCA
rnacentral:tRNA from 1 species